rnacentral:tRNA from 1 species
GAAGGUGUAGCUCAGUGGUAGAGUGCUUGCCUUGCAUGCACAAGGCCCUGGCUUCAAUCCCCAGCACCACCA